rnacentral:rRNA from 1 species
UACGUAGGGUGCAAGCGUUAAUCGGAAUUACUGGGCGUAAAGCGUGCGCAGGCGGUUUUGUAAGUCUGACGUGAAAUCCCCGGGCUCAACCUGGGAAUUGCGUUGGAGACUGCAAGGCUAGAAUCUGGCAGAGGGGGGUAGAAUUCCACGUGUAGCAGUGAAAUGCGUAGAGAUGUGGAGGAACACCGAUGGCGAUGGCAGCCCCCUGGGUCAAGAUUGACGCUCAUGCACGAAAGCGUGGGGAGCAAACAGG